GAGGGUAUAGCUUAAGUGGUAGAGCACAUGCUUAGCAUGCACGAGGUCCUGGGUUCAAUCCCCAGUACCUCCU
rnacentral:tRNA from 1 species